rnacentral:lncRNA from 1 species
UCGGCAUUAACUUUGAUGCAUGGCUGGCUCAUAUCAUUCUCCACCUCUUCAAAAGGAUUCGUCCUCGAAUCCGAACCUUCUUUUUCUUCAAGUGGUGGUGCGGGUAUGCAAUUUUCUUCCCCCUUGGACUCGACCUCAACAUUCUCAUUUAACUUUUCCUCAAUCAGCUGUUUAUCACUUGCUAAAUCGGCUACAAUGUUCUGAUUCUCAAAAGCUUGACGAGUAUCUUCCUUUUCAAGUGGCGAUAAAGAAUCACCCAUUCUCUUAAAUUGCUUGUAGUC